rnacentral:rRNA from 1 species
UUGAACGCUGGCGGCAUGCCUUACACAUGCAUGUCGAACGGAGCGCGGGAGCAAUCCUGGCGGCGAGUGGCGAACGGGUGAGUAAUACAUCGGAACGUGCCCAAUCGUGGGGGAUAACGCAGCGAAAGCUGUGCUAAUACCGCAUACGAUCUACGGAUGAAAGCAGGGGAUCGCAAGACCUUGCGCGAAUGGAGCGGCCGAUGGCAGAUUAGGUAGUUGGUGAGGUAAAGGCUCACCAAGCCUUCGAUCUGUAGCUG